rnacentral:rRNA from 1 species
UACGUAGGGGGCAAGCGUUGUCCGGAUUUAUGGGCGUAAAGAGCGUGUAGGCGGCUUUACAGGUCCGUUGUGAAAACUCGAGGCUCAACCUCGAGACGCCGGUGGAAACCGUAAAGCUAGGGUCCGGAAGAGGAGAGUGGAAUUCCUGGUGUAGCGGUGAAAUGCGCAGAUAUCAGGAAGAACACCCGUGGCGAAGGCGGCUCUCUGGGACGGUACUGACGCUGAGACGCGAAAGCGUGGGGAGCAAACAGG